AGUUUGUUUCUUAGCCCUCCUCCAUGGCUGUGUGUGGGGAAAGGUGCAUUUCCUGGACCUAAAGAAGCUGGCAGUCAGAACCUUGCCAUGGGCUGCGCAGAGUAACUCCAUGGGGUUGACUGGAGAAGGCACUGAGUUUUCUUCAAUUAGUUAAGAUUUUGUUUUCCAAAUCAGUUAGAUUGGUCCAUGAGCAACUGGACUAUUACAAUCCUGUAUAAAAACAGAGAUUUUGAAUUUAAAGCAGAAUGACUCAUGACAAGAAAUUUAUAAUUUGAAAUUUGCAAAAGAUAAAGCUCAGAGCUCUGAAGGACUUUCAUAGAGCAUGAGACUGGGAACUCAGCGAGAGACACAGAUCUCUGAGGAGGCAUAUGUCCUGACCAAGAGAAAGUUGGGAAGAGUAGGUGUACAAAGUGAAAAGAUUCAGUAUAUCUAUAUGGUAUGGUAAUUGUACAUUGCUUGGCUCUCAGCACACUGUGAGGCUCACUUUACAAAAAUUGGUAUUUGGUUUUAGAAACAACUCUAUUUUUAAAAUGGGAGGUUGUUUGUGGUAGGGGUUAAGAGUGUGGGCUCUGGAAUUAAAUGGGCUUGCCUCCUGUCCUGGUUCCCUCAAUUCUAGCUUUGUGAAAAUCAGGUGAGUUUUAAAUCUUUUUGUGCUUCACUUUUCUGCUGGUAGAACAGGGAUGAUUAUUAUAUGGUAGGGUUGUUGUGAAGCCUAACUGAAGUAAUGCACCCAGAGCACUUGCCACUCAAUACAGAUUACAG
rnacentral:lncRNA from 1 species